CUUGAUGAAAUUUUAGACCAAGUUCGAAAAUAGGUCAUCUGGGGUCAAAAACUAGGUCACUAGGUCAAAUCAAAGAAAAACCUUGUGUAUGCAGUAGAGGCUGUAUUUUUCAACUGAUCUUCAUGAAAUUUAGCCAGAAUGAUUACCUUGAUAAAAUCUAGGCCGUGUUCGAAAAUGGGUCAUCUCGGGUCAAAAACUAGGUCACUAGGUCAAAUCGAAGAAAAACAUUGUGUAUGCAAUAGAGGAUGUAUUUUUCAAUUGAUCUGUAUGAAAUUUGGUCAGAAUGAUUGUCUUGAUGAAAUCUAGGUCGAUUUUGAAUAUGGGUUAUCUGAGGUCAAAAACUAGGUCACUAGGUCAAAUUAAAGAAAAAUCUUGUGUAUGCGAUAGAGACUGUUUUUUUCAAUUGAUUUUUAUGAAAUUUGGUCAGGUUGAUUGCUUAAUGAAAUCUAGGUCGAAUUUGAAUAUGGGUCAUCUGAGGUCAAAAACUAGGUCACUUGGUCAAAUCAAAGAAAAAACUUCUGUAUGUGAUAGAGGCUGUAUUUUUCAGUUGAUCUUCAUGAAUUUUGGUCAGAAUGAUUGCCUUGAUAAAAUCUAGGUCGAGUUUGAACAUGGGUCAUCUAGGGUCAAAAACUAGGUCAUAUCUAAGAAAAUGCUUGUUUUAUCGCAAGAGACCAAUUUUUUGGUCCAAUCUUAAUGAAAAUUGGUCAGAAUAUUUGUUUCCUUGAAAUCACUAGGUCAAACAUGUUUUACACUGUUAUGGAGUGUUUCUUAGGUGAGCAACCUAGGGCCAUCUUGGCCCUCUUGUUUUAAGUUUCUGUGAAAUUGUUUUAAGUGAAUUCUACUUUGUUUUUUGUACUAGUUUUUUUUUUUCUAAAUGAGUGUAUUGGUUCACAAUUUGUUGUUGUUGUUUUUGUUGUUGUUACCUUUAAUGCUGUAUAUAGGCUAAGAGGUACUAUAGUGCUAUUAUAACAAAUGGCAUGAUGCUGAUGUUUUGAUUGAGUCAUGUUUUGAAUUUAUUUUUUGUUUUUGAUUUAUCACCGUUUUUCAACAGUGUUUCAAUUAUAUAACACUGAGCAGUUAACCUAACCAGUGAUCCUGGAUUCUGCAUUAUUACCAGCCUGUUCUCCACAAGUAACUGCCAACUUUGUCACAUAAAUCAAAGGUGAAGCACAAAUUAUUUCAGAUACAUUGCCUUAUCAAAUUCUCAUGUAGAACAUACACCUCCUCCAGGGAUCAAACUCCUGGCCCCACUGUCUGUAGGUCUAUGGUCUCCUUAUUUAGCUAAGUGAGGGGUUUCAUGUUUUUCAUACAUCAUGAAUAAAUAGCUAUUGACAUGAUCGGCAACACAAGUUUUCAUUGCUAAUAAAUUUUCAGACUCUUGAUAAUAUGCUAAAUGUAGUGUUAUCCAACUUUUCAGUUGACCGAAUUGCUGUCGCGAUCAAGCAAAUUGCAUGCAAGCUUACAGCUAAUGCCACUUUCACAAAAUGUAAAGAAACUUUGAAAAGAGCUGCACCGUUAUCAAAAAGUUUGUCCCUUGAUACAUGGGAUGCCAAAUUUUCGUUUUUCACAGAUUUGUUUGUUGCCAAAUAUUUUGAGUUUGUUGAUGUCUGUUUUUAAGCACAUUUGUAUGAAAGUGUGUUAUUGGAAAUAAAGAUAGAAGAAAAGGUAUAUUUGCAUUUUAAAGUCUGUCAUAAUUUUAGACUCAAGAGUAUAGAUAGCUAUAAACUAUUCAUUUUUCUGUCUUAACAUUUUGUGUUGCGUUUUUAUGAAGUAUUGUAAAAUUGUCUUUUUAAAGUAUUAUCGCAUACCUUCUGCAUUUGAGCUUUCUUUUGUACUGUGAAAAGUGAUUUUUAACAAAUUUACGAUUGUUUAUUGACUGUGAUAUAUGCAGUUUGGCUCAGGUAUAGUAUAUACAUUUAGUCUUGUAGGUUUUUCGGUUAAUAGUUAGACAGGAAUCAAAACCUGUUAUUUGUGUCCUAUUUCUUUAUUUAAAUAUCACAUAAUACAAAUAACCACAGAAUCAAUUUGUUUUACAUUUAUCCAGUUUCUAAGGCUUGAUAGCAGUCUCAGAAUAUAAUUUUGCUAUUGGUCAGUUUGAAGGUAACCAGUUGGAUGCAUAUUAUAAAACCAAGAUUUGAGACCAGUCUACAUACUGUGGACUCUGAUUGGUUGAUACUAGCUCAUCUUGACCAGUCCUUGCAUGGACCUCUUUCAAGUUUGUCCAAACGCCUUUGCUUGGUAUCAUUAGAGCUUAAAAUAGUAAAAACCUUCAAAUGACUUCUUCUCGUGUAACACUUGAUUGAUCAUCACCAAACUUAUUCUGUAGCAUCUUUGUUUAAAGGACCUUCCUACAAGGAUACUAAAACUUGAAAGGUCAAUAGAUAAGGCGCUUUUUAGGUGAGCAAUUAAGUGUCCAUUUGAGCCUCUUGUUAUUAUGAAGUAUAUUGACUAUCCUUCAGUUUAAACUUAAUUUGGGAGGUAUUUAAAAAUGAUGACUACUAUUGUAUUAUCCUUUGUAUCAAAUAGACUGUAUAGAGGUAUAGAGGCACUUCGAAGAGGACUGUUGUUAAAAUCUGAUAGCAAGAGCAUUAUUGAGUGCUUAAUAGGUAUUUGUAUGAUAGACAAAACUUUUGAUAUGAUUUUACAUAUCAUAUAUAUAUAUUGAAAACUAUUUGUUAUAGAAAUAUAUUUCUACUGUGCCUUAUUAAAUGAUAAAAACUA